AGUGAACGCUGGCGGUAGGCCUAACACAUGCAAGUCGAACGGCAGCACAGGAGAGCUUGCUCUCUGGGUGGCGAGUGGCGGACGGGUGAGGAAUACAUCGGAAUCUGCCCAGUCGUGGGGGAUAACGUAGGGAAACUUACGCUAAUACCGCAUACGACCUUCGGGUGAAAGAGGGGGAUCGCAAGACCUCUCGCGAUUGGAUGAGCCGAUGUCGGAUUAGCUAGUUGGCGGGGUAAUGGCCCACCAAGGCGACGAUCCGUAGCUGGUCUGAGAGGAUGAUCAGCCACACUGGAACUGAGACACGGUCCAGACUCCUACGGGAGGCAGCAGUGGGGAAUAUUGGACAAUGGGCGCAAGCCUGAUCCAGCCAUACUGCGUGGGUGAAGAAGGCCUUCGGGUUGUAAAGCCCUUUUGUUGGGAAAGAAAUCUUUCAGGCUAAUACCCUGGGAGGAUGACGGUACCCAAAGAAUAAGCACCGGCUAACUUCGUG
rnacentral:rRNA from 1 species